rnacentral:rRNA from 1 species
GGGGAAUCUUGCGCAAUGGGCGAAAGCCUGACGCAGCCAUGCCGCGUGAAUGAUGAAGGUCUUAGGAUUGUAAAAUUCUUUCACCGGGGACGAUAAUGACGGUACCCGGAGAAGAAGCCCCGGCUAACUUCGUGCCAGCAGCCGCGGUAAUACGAAGGGGGCUAGCGUUGCUCGGAAUUACUGGGCGUAAAGGGCGCGUAGGCGGACAUUUAAGUCAGGGGUGAAAUCCCAGAGCUCAACUCUGGAACUGCCUUUGAUACUGGGUGUCUUGAGUGUGAGAGAGGUAUGUGGAACUCCGAGUGUAGAGGUGAAAUUCGUAGAUAUUCGGAAGAACACCAGUGGCGAAGGCGACAUACUGGCUCAUUACUGACGCUGAGGCGCGAAAGCGUGGGGAGCAAACA